AUUUGAUUGUUCCAUAUUCAGUUAACUUAGCCCAUGUUUCCAAAGCCCAAAAGCAAGACAUGAAGGAUAUGACUUAAAGAGGCCAACUGACACAAUCAAGUUGUCAUCGCAACAGUUCUGACCAUUGCAUCCAGCAGCCUAGGCAAGGUAUUCAUGAUUGUAUUAUUUAUGCUAGCACUCCAAGUUUUCAAGGAGGGUAAACAAUGAACAACCGAAUGCAAACACCUUCAUUUAAUUCUCUAAAGGAACAA